GAUUCUUCCCAAUUCUACCGCCACCAUUCUGGUUCAAGCUACCUGGUCCAGCUUUGACUUUACCUGGUUUUUUAUAGAAUGCUACAACUCCCUCUAGAAGCUUCUCUUGAUAAGGUAAAACAUGCACAGAGCAAAUUUCGGUUGUAUCCUAGAAAUGAUAGCCAUAUUGAGGAUACUGGUUACACCUGACGAAACAUCUCCAUGAAAGUUAAGCAUACACAGGAUCUCACUUUGUUACCCAGGCUAGAGUGCAAUGGUGUGACCACAGCUCACUGAAGCCUCAACCUCCUGAGCUCACUUUUAAGCAAUCCUCUCACUUCGGCCUCCUGAGUAGCUGGGCCUACAGGCAUGUACCAACACUCCCAGCAAGUUUUUCUUAUUUUUGUGAAGACAGAGUCUUGCAGUAUUGCCCAAGCUGGACUUGAACUCCUGGCCUCAAGCAAUCCUCCCAUCUAGGCCUCCCAAAGUGCUAGGAUUACAGGCAUGAGCCACUGUGCCAAGCAACACUUGCAGUUUUUAAGUGAAAAUGAUCCUGUAAAUAUAUAUAUGAAUAAAAUCUAGAAAGCUAUAUAAAUCAAAA
rnacentral:lncRNA from 1 species